GUGGGGAAUAUUGCGCAAUGGGGGAAACCCUGACGCAGCGACGCCGUGUGAGGGAAGAAGGCUUUCGGGUCGUAAACCUCUGUCAGAAAGGAAGAACCUCCCAAGUCCGAAUAGGGCUUGGGACUGACGGUACUUUCAAAUGAAGCACCGGCUAACUCCGUGCCAGCAGCCGCGGUAAUACGGAGGGUGCAAGCGUUAAUCGGAAUCACUGGGCGUAAAGCGCGCGUAGGCCGCUUUGUAAGUCGGACGUGAAAGCCCUCGGCUCAACCGGGGAACUGCGUUGGAUACUGCGAGGCUUGAGUCCUGGAGAGGGUGGCGGAAUUCCGGGUGUAGGAGUGAAAUCCGUAGAUAUCCGGAGGAACACCGGUGGCGAAGGCGGCCACCUGGACAGGUACUGACGCUGAGGCGCGAAAGCGUGGGGAGCAAACAGGAUUAGAAACCCCGGUAGUCC
rnacentral:rRNA from 1 species